rnacentral:rRNA from 1 species
AGUCGUAACACGGUCACCGUAGGGGAACCUGCGGUUGGAUCACCUCCUUACCUUAAAGAA